ACAGUUAUAAUGGCCUGAGAUUUAUUUUUACACGCUUAUAAUUCUUUAUAUUUAAUUUUCCAUUAGUUUAGUAUAAUAUAAAAGAAGUUGGUGGUUGUUAUUGAAAGCUAAAAGUGUGUUGUGGAUAGGUUUGUGUCCGUACUGUGCAGAGCAGGCCAAGGGAGGACAACACAGCACCAGACGUAACACAGAAAGGCACUGUGUUCAAAGGGUGCCAUAAACUGUGGCUUCAUUUAAUGUAUUUUGGCAGAACAAGACAGUGACAGGGCCGUGGGUGCCUGCGUGUGCUGGUGCAAGCUUGGUGCCUGCCUGGAGGUGCCUACAGGGAGGUGCCUACAGGGCCACCAAGGCUAAUAUUGGUAAGAAACCCGCCCACCACUUGUCCAGCCAGCUAAUUUGCACAGUGUGAUGUAACAGGCGGUAACUGUGAUAGUGUUGUUACGUGUCACCCACAACAACAACACAGGGCUGUCAGAUACAAAUGUAGAGGGACGAAAUAGGGAAGCAGGAAGACCACCACCACCACCACCAUCACCACCAGCAGUGUGGAAGAAAGUUUAGAGCAACGGCAACCCUCCGAUCCGGCAAGCAAGUUGGCGGCAGCGAUGGCGGUGGCGGCGGCAGUGGUGGUGAGGUGGACGGCAGGGACAGAGGGGCAGUACAGGCUGCGGACAUCAAGGAGAAGAGGAACGCACGGACAAGCAAGGUGUUAUUCGGCAGUCUGAUCCUGGACCUGCUCGGCUUGAAGGUGGUGCUGCCCGUGUCUCCUGCUCUCCUCGACUGUUACUCCAAGCACAACACCAGCGGCUUGUAUUCCUCUCAGCUCUCCUGUGUGACUUAUUACCAGCAUAUCAUCGGUUUCGCUGCGAGGUUCCAUUCUGUCUUGUUUGGUAAUUAAGUGGGUUUGUUGUGUUUUGUAUUGGUUUAUAUAUUUUUAGCUUGUUUUUAUUAUUAUUUUUUCAAUUUUUUUAUCCUAUUAUCUAUUUAUUUAUUUUUUGUUUGUUUGUUUGUUUACAGGGUGUGUGUGUGUUUGUUUGUGUUCCUGCUGUUCAAUAUUGCAGCUUGUUUUCUUUAUUAUUGUUAUUUUGUGUUUUAUUCUAUUUCAGUGUUCUGAGGGAGUCUUCAGGUGUUUUUGGGGUGUUUUGGGGUGUUUUUGGAGUGUUUUGGGGUGUUUUUGGUGUGUUGUGAAGUGUUUUGAUGUGUUUUGGGGUGGUUAAGGGGUGUUUUGAAGUGUUUUGUGGUGUUGUGGAGGUGUUUUGGGAUUUUUGGUGUGUUUUAAAGUGUUUUGGGAUGUUUUUGGAAUGUUUUGAUGUGUUUUGAGAUGUUUAGGAGUAUUUUUGGAGUAUUUUGGUGUGUUUUUGGAGUGUUUUGGGAUGUGUUUGUAGUGUUUUGGGGUGUUUUGGGGUAUUUUGAAGGUGUUUUGGUGUGUUUUUGGAGUGUUUUGGGGUAUUUUGGGAUGUUUUGGUGUGUUUUGGGUUAUUUUGAGAGUGUUUUGGUGUGUUUUUGGAGUGUUUCUGGGUGUUUUGGAGUAUUUUGAGGGUGUUUAAAGGUGUUGUGGUAGUUUAAAAUAUAUUGUUAGUUUACUUUUUUUUAACUUUUUAUUUUCUUAUGCAUUAUUUUAUUUCUUAUUUAUAUUGUGGUGUGUUGUCGGUGUGUCCUAACCUAACCUAACCAGCCUACCCUCUCCUAACCUCCCCUCAACCCACAGGCACUGAUUGGCGUGACAUUCAGCAUAGGCUUCACCGUCGGGCACACUGUGGGGGCUGCGUUCUCCCGCUGGGGAAGUACUGGGUGGUUCGCGGCCUCGGCUGUCUACGCACGCACUCUCACUGUGGCUAACAUAAUAUUCUUUGCUGUCUUCUUCCAGGAAUCGCUGCCUGAGGGCAGAAGGAGGAGGGACAUCGGUGCCAGUUUGACCGAGGCUUGGGAGGUGAUCAAUCCUAGGGCUCUGUUCUCCGUCAGCUGUGUCAAGGGCCUGGGCAGAGAAGCCUGGAGUUAACGCUGAUCUUCGCGACCCACCACAAGCAUAGUUACGACUCGUUGGCGCAGGACCGCAAGUUUUCCUUCCUGGGCCUGGUCAUGGCAAUUACACAGAGAGGGUUUAUGCGAAGUGUUAAGACUGGAACUGAAAAAGCAACUGCCAAUUAGGCACACACCUACAUUGUGAUGCAGCUCCUUGGAGGUGGAGAGCUGGCUGCCCCAGAGGAUCAGGAAACACGAGAGGUUCACAGAGGCUCGCCUCGGGCUUCGGUCGUCGUGAGGAACCUGGUGUCAGCAGUUCACUACGUGCACAGGAAAAGCAUCAGUGUUCACGGAGACCUAAAGCCAGACAGGGGUGAAAAGGGUUGGUGUUGAGGAUAGACAGAAAAGAAAAGAAAGGAAAGGUAAAAAAAGGAAGUUUUUUUGCAUUGAUUUUCCAUCUGCUUAUUUUAAAGAAUUUAUUGCAUGGAAUAUUAUUGAUCUCCAUCAUUUGUAUGGCCUUUAUAAUAAAAAGUAUGAAU